UUGUAAUAGAGGAAAGUCCGGGCAACAAAGAGCACCAUACUUCUUAACGAGAAGUAGGCCGUGAGGUUUAAGUAACGUAACAGAAAAUAACCGCCUAUAUAGGUAAGGGUGAAAAGGUGAGGUAAGAGCUUACCGCCAUUGUGGUGACAUUAAUGGGAAGUACGUCUUAUGGGUUGAAAGACCAAGUAUACCAACGUUUGAAGGCUGCUCGUCUGAUGUUGGAGGGUAGGUCGAUAGAAAUAAUGGGUAACUAUUAUUCCAGAUAAAUGACAAGCAUUGUAUUUACAAUACAGAACCCGGCUUAUAGCCCUACUA
rnacentral:RNase_P_RNA from 1 species